rnacentral:rRNA from 1 species
UACUCCUACGGGAGGCAGCAGUGGGGAAUAUUGCACAAUGGGCGAAAGCCUGAUGCAGCAACGCCGCGUGAGCGAUGAAGGCCUUCGGGUCGUAAAGCUCUGUCCUCAAGGAAGAUAAUGACGGUACUUGAGGAGGAAGCCCCGGCUAACUACGUGCCAGCAGCCGCGGUAAUA